AUUGCUUUAUUUCUUCAUGCUAAAUAAGAUACAUAAAUCGUGAAUAUUCAAACAAACCUAUGAUUUCGACAACAAUCUGUUCCAACAUUACACACACACAAAAGCCGUAAUGAAGUUAUUACGAGCGAGUAACAUUUCGGCAUUCCGUUAACGGACGGCAACAACAUUAAAAUCAUUAUGUUAAAUCUCUCGAUAAAACAUUUCCUGAUUAUUUACCUACGCCUUGUCUUUAGUCAAAUGGACAAUAAUGUUUUUGAAGUUCAGUUUUUUCCAUAUCCAUCGUGAUCAGUUAGUAUGAUACUUCAUCACACAAGCCGACCCACUUUUUACAAAACACAAAAUAACUUUUAAAAACAAAACAUCUCUGUGCAGAUUGCGUCCCGUUAAAGGAACAGUUCACUCAAAAAUGAUAUGUAACUUACUCACGAAUUAUUUGCCCUGUAAAUAAUAAGUGAUUCCAAACCUUUAAGUUUCUUUAUUCUGUUGAACAUUAAAGACUGUAAGCAUUUGCUUUCAUGGUAGGAAAACACUAUGGAAUUAAAUAGUUACAGUUUUCCAGCUUUAUUUAAUACAUCUUCUUUAUUGUUUAGCAGAAAAAAAGCUAAAUAAGUUUGGAACAAAUAAAGAAUGAGGCUAAAAUGGCAGAAUUGUCAGUUUUGGGCUAUUUUUACAUGGAGAAUGUUUUCAGCUGUUGAAUUCACCUCAGAUCAGUGUUGCUGUAAUUCCUGAUGGAAAGAAGAAUUGAAUGAGCGAGCAACGCCACAACUACAGGACCUCUUCUUUCUCUUCUCAUAAUUUACACUGGAUUAUCCGUUGAAUUUGUUUCUUCCUCUGACUGCUUUCUCCAUACCAACAACUACGACUGGUCUUCAGCUGCGCUCCCCGGUCUGCUGUAUUCUCCAGUCCAGAGCUUCACUGACCAGUG